CCAACCGCCGGGCUAUAAUCUAUGAAACUGAGCCCGGACCCAGCCAAUCAGUUAGCUGCUCCUAACAGGUCUAACUGGCUCUGGACAGCUGAAGGGCUGUGCUGGAGCACAGCAGAGGAGACACUCCACAGCACUGUGCCUGUCCACACUCACUGUGCCUGGAGACGGGGGUCGGGGGUGCUGGGGGAGGGGGGGACGACAGGUGAGAUCUGGCACAAGCUGGAGCGA
rnacentral:lncRNA from 1 species